rnacentral:misc_RNA from 1 species
GAUGAAGAACGUAGCGAAAUGCGAUAACUAAUGUGAAUUGCAGAAUUCCGUGAAUCAUCGAGUCUUUGAACGCACAUUGCGCCCCCUGGUAUUCCGGGGGGCAUGCCUGUCCGAGCGUCAUUGCCGCCCUCAAGCACGGCUUGUGUGUUGGGCCCCCGCCCCCCGGCUUCGGGGGGCGGGCCCGAAAGGCAGCGGCGGCACCGCGUCCGGUCCUCGAGCGUAUGGGGCUUCGUCACCCGCUCUGUAGGCCCGGCCGGCGCCCGCCGGCGACCCCAAUCAAUCUUUCCAGGUUGACCUCGGAUCAGGUAGGGAUACCCGCUGAACUUAAGCAUAUCAAUAAGCGGAGGA